rfam:Ciona savignyi cont_37862, whole genome shotgun sequence.
GCUUAUCACCAUUCCAGAUUGAAUAUAGCCGAUCUCGUCUGAUCUCGGAAGUCAAGCAAUCUCGGGCUUGGAUAGUACUUGGAUGGGUGACCGCUUGGGAAUACCAAGUGUGAUAAGCA